rfam:Arthrobotrys oligospora ATCC 24927 unplaced genomic scaffold scaffold00097, whole genome shotgun sequence.
GGCACUUUGGCGGAGUGGUUAACGCGCCAGCCUGCUAAGCUGGUACCUUCGGGUGCGUGAGUUCGAAUCUCACAGGUGUCG